GACAGAUAAGCUACUGCCCUUUUAAUGGAGCCGCCAUCUCAGUGAAUUGAGAUAUCCAUAGGCGACAGAAACCUGCGGUGCCCAAACACACUCUUACUUGUUUUUGGUUGGUUGACUGCAGAAUAUGGAACAGUUUCUUUUCUAGCCUCCUACAGACACCUCUUUCCCUUUUUAAGCAGAUACUCCAGUGGCUGUGAAAAAUAACUGUUGAUUGCUGAAACAAAUAUCUUUCAAAAAGAAAAAAUGAAGAAAGAAAAAUGAAAAUUGUAUUUCUUGAGACAAUGUACCUGAAACACAUUAACAUUUUUAAGAAACUCUUGCAGAUAAAACAGAAACUUUCAUUAAUAUUGCUAGCCUAUUUGGAGGAGAUUAAAGAAAAGUUUCUUUCUAGGAACUUCAAUGGUGCAAUGGGGCCACCACCUUAACAACAAUACUGGAGCAGAGACUGAGAAAAUGGCCAAGCAGUAACAAGCCCUACCAGGGACCAAUCUCUAGGGCAAGAACUAAUCCCUGACAUUAUUAAUGAUACCCUUUUAUGUUUGCAUACAUGACUCUAUCAAAGCUGUCCUCUGAGAGGUUUCACAGAGCAGUUGACUCAGAAGGAUGAGGAGACCCAUAGCCAAACAGUGGCUGGAGCUUGGGGAUUCUUAUGGAAGAAUAAGAGGAAAGAAUUUUGACCCAAAGGGGAUAGGAACUCCAGAGGAAGAUGGACAGACUUAGUUAACCUGGACUGUUGGGCUCUUAAAGACUGAACCACCAACCAAAGAGCAUACAGAAGCUGAAUAUAAACCUCUGCACAUAUGUAGCAGAUGUGAAGCUUUGUAGGUGCCAUUCAAGUCCCUGAUCGAUUGUCAUGUGGGCCGGGAAAAACUGGCACCUGAACAGGGAACCCAGCGUAUCACAGAGGAGAGAACGCUGCUCAUCAUUAGAGCAUAGGCCUGCCCGCUCAUUUACAGAAGCACCUGUGAGCAGCUUUGGUUCUACAUAACCCCACAGUCCAACCCGCCAUGAGACAGUCUUGGAGUUCAUAGCGUGCUGCAGAUCUUAAGGUAUUUAAGUGUGCUUAUAUAUUCUUCUACUGAAUGAAUCUCAUCCACAAUGAAAGACACCAGGCAAGUAAUAACAGUGAAGAUAAAACCUCAUGACUUGAUAUAAAAGAACUGUCCUGUAAAACACUGUCAUAAUGUCAUCAGGAGAAAUACCCGAUGAGCAUGUCAGAAGAUACUGAAGCCAAAAACCCUUUGUUAGAUGUAAAUGCAUUUCAUUGUAAAAUUUGUUGCA
rnacentral:lncRNA from 1 species